UAAAAUCUCUCAGCAGAGCUAAUUUUCUAGAUGGGUUCAUUUUUGGAACUGCUUCUUCAGCUUACCAGUUUGAGGGAGCUUCUGAUGAGGGAAAUAAAGGAGUUAGUAUAUGGGAUACAUUUACAAAACAACCAGGGAGAAUUUUAGACUUCAGAAAUGCAAACACAGCUGUUGAUCAAUAUCAUAGAUUUGAGGUAUGAUAUUUUUUUUUAAAAGAAUUAUAAGAGUUUUAAUGUCACAAGCAUAAGCUGAUUAUUCCAUUUUCUUUCCUUAUUUUUUUUUUAGUUUUCUUUUUGGGUAGCAUUUUCCUUUUUCAAUUUAAAAUUUAUAAAAAAAAGUCAAUUGUUGCGUGGGAAAGGAGUUUCAGCAAUAAAAUAACAUGAAAUUUGAUUAAUUCUUUCUGUUCGAGAGUGACUGAUGGGAGCUAAUUUGUAAUUUCUACAUGGGCCAAAUUAUUUCAAGGGCCAGGAGAAUCUCACGAAUAAGAAAAUUUAAUUUCAUAACACUAUUGGACCUAGUAGUUACUGUUUUAUGGAUAAUAAAGCUUCAAAUCCUCAUACUUUAGAAGAUUUAUUUGCACUGUUUGAUGUUUUUGGCUUGUCACCUACUCAUGAACUCGUGAAUAUUGGUUAUUACAUUACAUCUUAUGAAGCAUAUUACAUUAAAUCUUUCAUGUUUUUAGGAUUAAGAGUUUUAUCUUUGUAUUAUUAGGAUAGUUUCAGAGUUAAGAUUGUGUAAAGACCUAACAAUAACAUUGUAAGACUUG